rnacentral:rRNA from 1 species
UACGAAGGGUGCAAGCGUUACUCGGAAUUACUGGGCGUAAAGCGUGCGUAGGUGGUUGUUUAAGUCUGUUGUGAAAGCCCUGGGCUCAACCUGGGAAUUGCAGUGGAUACUGGGCGACUAGAGUGUGGUAGAGGGUAGUGGAAUUCCCGGUGUAGCAGUGAAAUGCGUAGAGAUCGGGAGGAACAUCCAUGGCGAAGGCAGCUACCUGGACCAACACUGACACUGGGGCACGAAAGCGUGGGGAGCAAACAGG